rnacentral:rRNA from 1 species
UGGGGAAUAUUGGACAAUGGGGGCAACCCUGAUCCAGCAAUGCCGCGUGUGUGAAGAAGGUCUUCGGAUUGUAAAGCACUUUCGACGGGGACGAUGAUGACGGUACCCGUAGAAGAAGCCCCGGCUAACUUCGUGCCAGCAGCCGCGGUAAUACGAAGGGGGCUAGCGUUGCUCGGAAUGACUGGGCGUAAAGGGCGUGUAGGCGGUUUGUACAGUCAGAUGUGAAAUCCCCGGGCUUAACCUGGGAGCUGCAUUUGAUACGUGCAGACUAGAGUGUGAGAGAGGGUUGUGGAAUUCCCAGUGUAGAGGUGAAAUUCGUAGAUA